rnacentral:rRNA from 1 species
GUUUGAUCCUGGCUCAGGAUGAACGCUGGCUGUGUGCCUAAUACAUGCAUGUCGAACGAAGUACUUGUACUUAGUGGCAAAUGGGUGAGUAACACGUACCUAACUUGCCUUUUAGAUUGGGACAACCACGGGAAACUGUGGCUAAUACCAAAUAUGUAUAAUUAACAUAUGUUUUUUAUAUGAAAGGAAGCGAUUGCUUUGCUAAAAGAUAGGGGUGCGCUACAUUAGCUUGUUGGUAGGGUAAAAGCCUACCAAGGCUAUGAUGUAUAGUGGGAUCGAGAGGUUGAACCACCACACUGGGAUUGAGAUACGGCCCAGACUCCUACGGGAGGCAGCAGUAGGGAAUAUUCCACAAUGAGCGAAAGCUUGAUGGAGCGACACAGCGUGUAGGAUGAAUGCCUUAGGGUUGUAAACUACUGUUAUAAGAGAAGAAUAGCUAAAAAAGGAAAUGUUUUUAGUCUGACGGUAUCUUAUCAGAAAGCAGUUGCAAACUAUGUGCCAGCAGCAGCGGUAAUACAUAGACUGCAAGCGUUAUCCGGAAUUAUUGGGCGUAAAGCAUUCGUAGGUUGUUUAUUAAGUUUGGUGUUAAAAACAAAAGCUCAACUUUUGUUUGCAUUAAAUACUAAUAGACUAGAGUUAUAAAGAGGUUAAUGGAACUCCAUAUGAAGCGGUGGAAUGCGUAGAUAUGUGGAAGAACACCAAUGGCGAAGGCAAUUAACUGGAUAUACACUGGCACUGAGGGAUGAAAGCGUGGGGAGCAAACAGGAUUAGAUACCCUGGUAGUCCACGCUGUAAACGAUGUUUGUUAAUCGGUGGUGAAAUCACUGAUACAGCUAACGCAAUAAACAAACCGCCUGAGUAGUAUGCUCGCAAGAGUGAAACUUAAAGGAAUUGACGGGGAGCCGCACAAGCGGUGGAGCAUGUGGUUUAAUUCGAAGAUACGCGAAGCACCUUACCAACAUUUGACAUCUUUUGCAAAGGCAUAGAGAUAUGCUGGAGGAUAACAAAAAGACAGGUGGUGCAUGGCCGUCGUCAGCUCGUGCCGUGAGGUGUAGGGUUAAGUCCUAUAACGAGCGCAACCCUUUUCUUUAGUUACUAACAUUUAGUUGAGCACUCUAAAGAUACUGCCUAGGUAACUAGGAGGAAGGAGGGGAUGAGGUAGGUCAUCAUGCCUCUUACAUGUUGGGUUACACACGUGCUACAAUGGCAAAUACAAAGAGAAGCAAAAUCGUGAGGUGGAGCAAAUCUGUAAAAUUUGUCUCAGUUCGGAUUGGAGUCUGCAACUCGACUCCAUGAAGUAGGAAUCGCUAGUAAUCCUAGAUCAUCAAUGCUAGGGUGAAUACGUUCUCGGCUCUUGUACACACCGCCCGUCAAACCAUGGGAGUUGGUAAUACCCAAAGCUAGUUAGUUAACCAUUUAUUUGGAGGCAACUAUCUAAGGUAGGAUCAAUGACUGGGGUUAAGUCGUAACAAGGUAACC